rnacentral:rRNA from 1 species
UACGUAGGGUGCAGGCGUUAAUCGGAAUUACUGGGCGUAAAGCGUGCGCAGGCGGUUUGCUAAGACAGGUGUGAAAUCCCCCGGGCUUAACCUGGGAACUGCGCUUGUUACUGGCAAGCUUGAGUGUGGCAGAGGGGGGUGGAAUUCCACGUGGUAGCAGUGAAAUGCGUAGAGAUGUGGAGGAACACCGAUGGCGAAGGCAGCCCCCUGGGCUAACACUGACGCCUCAUGCACGAAGCGUGGGGAGCAAACAG